CCUACGGGAGGCAGCAGUGAGGAAUAUUGGUCAAUGGGCGUAAGCCUGAACCAGCCAAGUCGCGUGAGGGAUGAAGGUUCUAUGGAUCGUAAACCUCUUUUAUAAGGGAAUAAAGUGCGGGACGUGUCCCGUUUUGGAUGUACCUUAUGAAUAAGGAUCGGCUAACUCCGUGCCAGCAGCCGCGGUAAGACGGAGGAUCCGAGCGUUAUCCGGAUUUAUGGGGUUUACAGGGUGCGUAGGCGGCCUUUUAAGUCAGCGGUGAAAGUCUGUGGCUCCACCCUAGAAUUGCCGUUGAAACUGGGAGCCUUGAUUCUGUUUGCGCCCGGCGGCAUGCGUGGUGUAGCGGU
rnacentral:rRNA from 1 species